UUUUUUGUUGUUGUUGUGUCCCUGACAGGUUUUGGUAUCAAGAUGAUGCUGGCAUCAUAGAAUGAAUUGGGGAGAAGACUCUCCUCAUCCGUUUUUUUGGCAAGAGUUUCUGUAGGAACGGUAGCAGCUCUUCUUUGUACAUCUGGUUGAAUUAAGCUGUGAAUCCAAGAAGUCCUGGGCUUUUUUGUUGUUGGUAAAGACCAAAUGCUAUUUUAAAAAAAAAUUCCCGGGAGCGGACUCAAGAUGGCGCUGUGAGAACAACCCAGGAUUGGAGCCCGCGUUGAAUUCGCAAACGGUGAGUCAGUGCUGCAUUUCCAGACUGAUCUUUGUUGCCCACAGAACGGGGAAACUCCCAAGUAUAAAAAGACACGGGACGCCAGGCAGUAGGUCUGCCUGGCGAAGCCGGCAGCCGGGGCGGCGGCGGCCGGCCCUACCCAGCAAUCCCCACAGGGCACGCUUGUCCGGGUGCCUUGUUGAACCGGCAACCUGAGACUUGAGAGGGCUGGACUUGAGACUGAACGAGACUUGCACAGUAGCCCAGCCCAGGGGAUUGCAGGGACAGAUCGUUUGGGAUACCCAGUGGGACGAACAAAACCGCGAUUUCAAACUAUCCCGGGCAGACGGUCCGAGACGCUCUGUGGGGGAGGGGCGUCCACCACUACCGAGGCAACCCGCCCCAACUGAGAUACACGCCCACUGCUGACGCAGCCAGCCGUUGCUGAGGCAACACGCUACAACGAAGAGACUCCGCCGCAGGGCGUGGCGGAGACCACAGCAGAGCCGGCAGGAACAGCGCGAAUCACACAACAGCAGGGCGGAGCCUCGGCAGCCAAACAGUGGCUAGUCUGCCUUCGAGCUGGGCAGGACACCUGAUCGGACAUCCAAAAAUAAAGCCCAAACCCCUCAACACAGAGCAUUUGAGAAAAAAAAAAGGGUUGUUUAAUGAGCUGUGUUGCAGCAGAAUCAAACAUAGCAGCCUAACAGCCCUGAAUGAACAACAGAGUACACAGCU
rnacentral:lncRNA from 1 species